rnacentral:rRNA from 1 species
UACGGGGGGGGCAAGCGUUGUUCGGAAUUACUGGGCGUAAAGGGUCUGUAGGUGGCUUGCUAAGUCAGACGUGAAAUCCCUCAGCUUAACUGGGGAACUGCGUCUGAGACUGGCGAGCUUGAGGGCAGGAGAGGAACGCGGAAUUCCAGGUGUAGCGGUGAAAUGCGUAGAUAUCUGGAGGAACACCGGUGGCGAAGGCGGCAUCCUGGACCAACACUGACGCUGAGGAGCGAAAGCCAGGGGAGCAAACGGG